rnacentral:rRNA from 1 species
UACGAAGGGGGCGAGCGUUGUUCGGAAUUACUGGGCGUAAAGGGCGCGCAGGCGGCCUUAGAAGUCUGAUGUGAAAGCCCUGGGCUCAACCUGGGAAUUGCAUUGGAUACUGGCAGGCUAGAGUGCGGUAGAGGAUGGCGGAAUUCCCGGUGUAGCAGUGAAAUGCGUAGAGAUCGGGAGGAACAUCUGUGGCGAAGGCGGCCAUCUGGAUCAGCACUGACACUGAGGCACGAAAGCGUGGGGAGCAAACAGG